UACAGCCAUAUCACAUUGAAACACCGUUACCCGGACGAUCCCCGAAGUUAAACAACGUCGAGACUGGUUAGUACUUAAAUGGGUGACUGCUUGGAAAUAGCAGCUGG